GUGAGGAAUUUUCCGCAAUGGGCGAAAGCCUGACGGAGCAAUGGCGCGUGAAGGAUGAAGGCCUAUGGGUUGUAAACUUCUUUUCUCAGAAAAGAAUUAUGACGGUAUCUGAGGAAUAAGCAUCGGCUAACUCUGUGCCAGCAGCCGCGGUAAGACAGAGGAUGCAAGCGUUAUCCGGAAUGAUUGGGCGUAAAGCGUCUGUAGGUUGUUUAAAAAGUAUUCUGUCAAAGAUUAGGGCUUAACCCUAGAUAGGCAGAAUAAACUUUUAAGCUAGAGUUUGGUAGAGGCAGAGGGAAUUCCCGGUGGAGCGGUGAAAUGCGUAGAUAUCGGGAGGAACACCAAAGGCGAAGGCACUCUGCUGGGCCAAUACUAACACUGAGAGACGAAAGCGAGGGGAGCAAAUGGGAUUAGAAACCCGUGUAGUCC
rnacentral:rRNA from 1 species